rnacentral:rRNA from 1 species
CGCGAAUAGCUCAUUACAACAGCUAUAAUCUACAUGUUCUUACUUUUAAACGGAUAACUGCGGUAAUUCUGGAGCCAAUACGUGCCUAAAGGGGUGUUCAGCAAUGAGCACUCUGCACUUAUCGGAGCAAAACUAAUCUUGUUUUAUGCUAACUCUGGAUAACCAAGCUUAUCGCAGGUCUUCGGACGGCGAAGUAACAUUCGAGUAUCUGCCCUAUCAUCUAUCGUAGGUAGUGUAUUGGACUACCCAGGAGGUCACGGGUAACGGAGAAUCAGGGUUCGACUCCGGAGAGGGAGCCUUAGAAACGGCUACCAUUUCUAAGGAAAGCAGCAGGCGCGCAACUUAUCCACUGUCCACUAGGACGAGAUAGUGACGAGAAAUAACAAGUUCGUUCUCUUUGAGGUCGAACAUUGGAAUGGACCGAAUUUAAAAGAUUCGGUGAGUACCCACGAGAGGGCAAGUCUGGUGCCAGCAGCCGCGGUAAUUCCAGCUCUCGUAAUGUAUAGAAUUAUUGUUGCGGUUAAAAAGUUCGUAGUUGGAUUUCAUACCACUUGGAGGUAGUGUUUAACGACGCUUACUUGCGGUGGUGUUUACAUCGAGUCGAGUUCACUUGGCUAGAUGUGGAUUACUUUGAACGGCUUAAGUGCUCAAGGCGAGUCUUCGGACUGAAUACCGGUGCAUGGAAUAAUGGAACAAGGUUUCGGCUGAGUUUUAUUGGUUUUGUCGGCAGAGACAAUGGUUAACAGGAACAGCUGGGGGCACUCGUAUCCCGGCGCGAGAGGUGAAAUUCGUGGACCGUCGGGAGACGCCCUAAAGCGAAGGCAUUUGCCAAGAGUGUUUUCAUUAAUCAAGAACGAAAGUCAGAGGUUCGAAGGCGAUCAGAUACCGCCCUAGUUCUGACCGUAAACGAUGCCAACUAUCAAUCUGCCAGCAGCUUCCAGUUGUUGGCAGGCGGAUCGACGGAAACGAAAGUUUUUCGGUUCCGGGGGAAGUAUGGUUGCAAAGCUGAAACUUAAAGGAAUUGACGGAAGGGCACCACCAGGAGUGGAGCUUGCGGCUUAAUUUGACUCAACACGGGAAACCUCACCCGGCCAGUACAUCAUAAGGAUUGACAGAUUGAAAGCUCUUUCAUGAUUUGAUGAAUGGUGGUGCAUGGCCGUUCUUAGUUCGUGGCGUGAGUCGUCUGCUUAAUUGCGAUAACGAGCGAGACUCCGAUUGUUAAAUAGCUGGCAGUUUACUUCGACUGUACAGCUUCUUAACGAGAUUCGCGUCUUCAAGGCGCAAGAAAUGGAGCAAUAACAGGUCUGUGAUGCCCUUAGAUGUUCGGGGCCGCACGCGUGCUACAAUGAUGGUAACAGCGUGAUUGUCCUCGCCCGAGAGGGCUUGGCAAACAGUUGAGAUAUUAUUAUGGCUGGAAUUGAGUGUUGAAAUUUUCUCUCAUGAACGAGGAAUUCCAAGUAAAUGCGAGUCAUCAACUUGCAUUGAUUACGUCCCUGCCCUUUGUACACACCGCCCGUCGCUACCCGGGACUGAGUUGUUUCGAGAAAUCUACGGACCUGUUUGCUUGCAAGCGGGAAAGUAAAUUAAUCGCAGUGGCUUGAACC